CACAGCCCUAGCUCUGAUUCAAACGAAUCCUAGGUUUUUCGCCCCAGAUCUGACAACGUCCUACGGAUAACCAUUCUUUAGAAGGGCUUCUGCUUCGAAAAUCUAUUUAAAUAGCUGUCAUCGCUUUCAUUAAGUCACUUUCGCUGAGCUGUUCCUUGGGAUGUGAGCUCUCAUACGAUUACAUCAUGCUGCACAGGAAUUCAGACCACGUGGUAGCGAAUAUGGGAAUGUUGAAGUUGGAAAAAAGGAUACCUCAUCUAACCUGGAAAAGCUAAACUACCUCUACUCUUGCAGCAACAUUCUGAGUAAAGGUUGUUGCUGUAUUCACAAUUGUUGGGAGAAAAAGGGAUAAGAGCUGGCUUUACCUUCCAAUUGUUGUGAGCUGGGGCUUUUUACUCAGGUUGUAUUAGGACCCCAUUGAUCUCCAAACGCAAGCUCUUGGAGUCCUCUUCACAUUUUGCUAUGCUUGAUUUUAAUGGAUAAGGGCUGGCUUUACCUUCCAAUUGUUGUGAGCUGGGGCUUUUUACUCAGGUUGUAUUAGGACCCCAUUGAUCUCCAAACGCAAGCUCUUGGAGUCCUCUUCACAUUUUGCUAUGCUUGAUUUUAUGGGUGCAAAACAUGUUGCUCGUUGGUCACAUGCCCCACAUAACACUCAGUGGGAACGUCUCGGUAUUGCGGAAAAUGUCAUCUCUGGUUAUGAAAGGUGUAUUGAUACCGUCGCACCUGUACUGUGUGACAAGUGCACGUUCCGAUUGUAGUCGUUGGAAGAAAUUGGCUGUAUCAGACUACGAAGUAAAGACUACGAACGGCUAUAAACCCCUUGAAGCUAUGCUCGUCCUAUGCCGUAUGGUGGCGCGUCGAACGAACUUUCUGAAAGCCAUUAUAUUUUCUCGUUUGCUUACUGAUUUGGGUCUUCACACACCGUAAACUUGCUUUGGCAGGUUAG
rnacentral:lncRNA from 1 species